GUGAGAUGGGUUUAGUCCGUCGUGAGACAGGAUUGUUGCUAUGUGCUGGGACCGUUUUGUGCCUGAAGGAAAGGGCCCCUUAGUACGAGAGGAACGGGGGCUCGCAGCCACUAGUUUACCAGUUGUCCGACAGGGCAUUGCUGGGCAGCCACGCUGCAAGGGAUAAGAGCUGAAAGCAUCUAAGCUCGAAACCCACCCUAAGACGAGGCACGUUGACGCCCGUAGAAGACGGGACGAUAGGACCGGGGUGUACGCACCGAGAAUUAUAGUGACGCUAGAAACCGCUUCGGCGGUGGAAGGUACCACUUCGAGGUGUUCAGCCCGCCGGUUACUAAGAGUUAUUACUGCUAUCAGG
rnacentral:rRNA from 1 species